rnacentral:rRNA from 1 species
GUGGAGAAGGGUUUCUCGAGAACGGCACUCGCUCGAGAGUUAGUCGAUCCUAAGCUGCCGGCGGCAGCCACGAAACGGUCGAUCGGGCGCGAGCCCGGCAGCCACGACCGGGCAGCGAAAGGGAAUUGGGAACCUCCUUCCCAAACCCGGAACCGGAACGAGGGCGGCGACGCGAACGAAACGGCCGCGGAGACGGCGGCCGCGGCCCCGGAGAGAGUUCUCUUUUCUGUGCGACUGGACGUCGGCCCCGGAAUCGCGUCGAGCGGAGGGGGGGUCGAGUUCAGGAAUAGCACCCCGGCUUUCGGGGUGUCCGGGCGGCCGCGGUCGUCCCAUGAAAAUCCGCGGAUGAACGAGUAGGCGACGGUCCGGGUCGUACCAAUGACCGCAUCGGGUCUCCAAGGUUGAAAGCCUCUGGCUAACGGG